UACGUAGGGUGCAAGCGUUAUUCGGAUUUACUGGGCGUAAAGGGCGCGUAGGCGGUCGUAUAAGUCAGAUGUGAAAGCCCGGGGCUCAACCCCGGAAGUGCAUUUGAUACUGUACGACUUGAGUAUGGGAGAGGGAAGUGGAAUUCCUGGUGUAGAGGUGAAAUUCGUAGAUAUCAGGAGGAACACCGGUGGCGAAGGCGACUUCCUGGACCAAUACUGACGCUGAGGCGCGAAGGCGUGGGUAGCAAACAGG
rnacentral:rRNA from 1 species